CGGUGUAACAGGAAGUGCCUGGCACAGCUUUUCCACUCGCAGAAUUAGCCACCGACUUCACCCAGGCAAACUUUACUCUAAGGAGCAUUUGUUCAGCCCCUCUGUGAUCAAUCCUCCGGCCAGAGAAUUGGCUGCAUCCGAGACCCCAGCGCCGAUCUACUGCUUCCCCAUCACCAUGGAGGCUUCUCUUGCUGUCUGCAUCCUCGCUGCUCUCCUGGCUACGGGGACCUGUCUGCAGUGUGAGGUUUGCACUGGAGCAGGAAACAACUGCACGGGCAGCAUGCAGACCUGCCCCACUGGGCAAGACUCUUG